CAUUUAAAAACUUUUUGUAGAGAAGCUCUUUUUCCUCAUUUCCUUCCACUCCUCAUUGAUUCUUAACUUCUUUUUGUUUAUUUAGUUUUUGGAAGCACCACCAGGAUUAAAUAGCAACUUUAAAUUUGGGUGUAUCCUUCCAGAAAUUUCAAUACAGAGGACCCUGGUGUCCAACAGCAUCAUUGCAUUGGUUCAUUUGCUCAGUCCUCUGCAACAUGCACAGAAUGGUUCCACAAUUGGUAUAUUCAUACCUCCAUGAAAAGGAAACCUAAUAGAUGUGUAGGAUUAACUAUACUUGUGAUAAUUAAAAUUGUUUCCUUAUGGAAAAACAUGUGUCUUAUUAAUUUGUCCGAUUUGUUCAUAUUUAGAAUUUUUUUAAGUAUUUCACUUCAUUUUAUUUAUUCUUAUUAUUUUUAAAUUUGACCAGAGGAAGACACAGAGAGAAGGAAAGUGAGAAAGCAAGCUACCAGGUCCAGGAUUCAAACUGUGGUCUGCCAUGUGGAAGUCCAGCACUCCAACCACCACACCACCUGCCAGCCCCCGUAUUUAGAAUUUGUAACAUGACCGAGUUUAUAAGUACAUGCAGCUUUGAAGCCACAGAUAGACUUACUUCUGUUUUGACUUCUAUAUUAAGUCUAUUUGUUAAUUAAAGAAAUGCUAACUUAA